rnacentral:rRNA from 1 species
AUGGCAACUUCUUCUUCUCCCUCGUCCACGGCGAUCCAGAUAACUCCACCGACCGCCACCAAGGACGUUGAUGACGACGAUGAGAUACCAGCCCCUGACACGGUACCACCGCCAACGGCAACCCCUACCAUGGACAGGGUCAUGUCAGGCGUGGCAAACCUUGCGCAGCUCCUGCCAACGGGCACUGUGCUGGCAUACCAGGCGCUAAGCCCGUCCUUUACCAACCACGGCAAGUGCGAGACCUCCAACCAGUGGCUCACCGUGGCGCUGGUCGCCGUCCUCACCGUCAUGUGCCUCUUCUUUUCUUUUACCGACAGCAUCGUCAGCCGUGACGGAAAGCUCUACUACGGCGUAGCCACUCCGCGCGGCUUCAACGUGUUCGACUUCUCCAGGGAGGACGAGAGCCAUGAGUGGAGCAGGGACCAGCUCCGGAGUCUCCACCUCCGGCCGCUGGACUUCGUGCACUCCUUCUUCGCGGCCGUGCUUUUCCUCACAGUGGCGUUCAGUGAUGUGGGGCUGCAGAACUGCUUCUUCCCGGACGCCAGCAGGAACGCCCAGGAGCUGCUCAAGAACCUGCCACUCGGCAUGGCUUUUCUAUCCACCGUUGUGUUCGCCAUCUUCCCCACCAAAAGGAAGGGAGUCGGAUUCAGCGACUCUACUCCUCGCCCGAAGGUUGAUCACUUAAAUUAG